UAAGCGACUAAGCGUACACGGUGGAUGCCCUGGCAGUCAGAGGCGAUGAAGGACGUGCUAAUCUGCGAAAAGCGUCGGUAAGGUGAUAUGAACCGUUAUAACCGGCGAUGUCCGAAUGGGGAAACCCAGUGUGAUUCGUCACACUAUCGUUAACUGAAUACAUAGGUUAACGAGGCGAACCGGGGGAACUGAAACAUCUAAGUACCCCGAGGAAAAGAAAUCAACCGAGAUUCCCCCAGUAGCGGCGAGCGAACGGGGAGCAGCCCAGAGUCUGAAUCAGCUUGUGUGUUAGUGGAACGGUCUGGAAAGUCCGACGGUACAGGGUGAUAGUCCCGUACACCAAAAUGCACAGGUUGUGAACUCGAAGAGUAGGGCGGGACACGUGGUAUCCUGUCUGAAUAUGGGGGGACCAUCCUCCAAGGCUAAAUACUCCUGACUGACCGAUAGUGAACCAGUACCGUGAGGGAAAGGCGAAAAGAACCCCGGCGAGGGGAGUGAAAAAGAACCUGAAACCGUGUACGUACAAGCAGUGGGAGCACCUUCGGGUGUGACUGCGUACCUUUUGUAUAAUGGGUCAGCGACUUAUAUUCUGUAGCAAGGUUAACCGUAUAGGGGAGCCGCAGGGAAACCGAGUCUUAACUGGGCGUUAAGUUGCAGGGUAUAGACCCGAAACCCGGUGAUCUAGCCAUGGGCAGGUUGAAGGUUGGGUAACACUAACUGGAGGACCGAACCGACUAAUGUUGAAAAAUUAGCGGAUGACUUGUGGCUGGGGGUGAAAGGCCAAUCAAACCGGGAGAUAGCUGGUUCUCCCCGAAAGCUAUUUAGGUAGCGCCUCGUGAAUUCAUCUUCGGGGGUAGAGCACUGUUUCGGCUAGGGGGUCAUCCCGACUUACCAACCCGAUGCAAACUACGAAUACCGAAGAAUGUUAUCACGGGAGACACACGGCGGGUGCUAACGUCCGUCGUGAAGAGGGAAACAACCCAGACCGCCAGCUAAGGUCCCAAAGUCAUGGUUAAGUGGGAAACGAUGUGGGAAGGCACAGACAGCCAGGAUGUUGGCUUAGAAGCAGCCAUCAUUUAAAGAAAGCGUAAUAGCUCACUGGUCGAGUCGGCCUGCGCGGAAGAUGUAACGGGGCUAAACCAUGCACCGAAGCUGCGGCAGCGACACUAUGUGUUGUUGGGUAGGGGAGCGUUCUGUAAGCCUGCGAAGGUGACCUGUGAGGGUUGCUGGAGGUAUCAGAAGUGCGAAUGCUGACAUAAGUAACGAUAAAGCGGGUGAAAAGCCCGCUCGCCGGAAGACCAAGGGUUCCUGUCCAACGUUAAUCGGGGCAGGGUGAGUCGACCCCUAAGGCGAGGCCGAAAGGCGUAGUCGAUGGGAAACAGGUUAAUAUUCCUGUACUUGGUGUUACUGCGAAGGGGGGACGGAGAAGGCUAUGUUAGCCGGGCGACGGUUGUCCCGGUUUAAGCAUGUAGGCUGGUUAUCCAGGCAAAUCCGGAUAAUCAAGGCUGAGGUGUGAUGACGAGGCACUACGGUGCUGAAGUAACAAAUGCCCUGCUUCCAGGAAAAGCCUCUAAGCAUCAGGUAACAUCAAAUCGUACCCCAAACCGACACAGGUGGUCAGGUAGAGAAUACCAAGGCGCUUGAGAGAACUCGGGUGAAGGAACUAGGCAAAAUGGUGCCGUAACUUCGGGAGAAGGCACGCUGGUGUGUAGGUGAAGUCCCUGCGGAUGGAGCUGAGACCAGUCGAAGAUACCAGCUGGCUGCAACUGUUUAUUAAAAACACAGCACUGUGCAAACACGAAAGUGGACGUAUACGGUGUGACGCCUGCCCGGUGCCGGAAGGUUAAUUGAUGGGGUUAUCCGUAAGGAGAAGCUCUUGAUCGAAGCCCCGGUAAACGGCGGCCGUAACUAUAACGGUCCUAAGGUAGCGAAAUUCCUUGUCGGGUAAGUUCCGACCUGCACGAAUGGCGUAAUGAUGGCCAGGCUGUCUCCACCCGAGACUCAGUGAAAUUGAACUCGCUGUGAAGAUGCAGUGUACCCGCGGCAAGACGGAAAGACCCCGUGAACCUUUACUAUAGCUUGACACUGAACAUUGAGCCUUGAUGUGUAGGAUAGGUGGGAGGCUUUGAAGCGUGGACGCCAGUCUGCGUGGAGCCAACCUUGAAAUACCACCCUUUAAUGUUUGAUGUUCUAACGUUGGCCCCUGACCGGGGUUGCGGACAGUGUCUGGUGGGUAGUUUGACUGGGGCGGUCUCCUCCCAAAGCGUAACGGAGGAGCACGAAGGUUAGCUAAUCCUGGUCGGACAUCAGGAGGUUAGUGCAAUGGCAUAAGCUAGCUUGACUGCGAGCGUGACGGCGCGAGCAGGUGCGAAAGCAGGUCAUAGUGAUCCGGUGGUUCUGAAUGGAAGGGCCAUCGCUCAACGGAUAAAAGGUACUCCGGGGAUAACAGGCUGAUACCGCCCAAGAGUUCAUAUCGACGGCGGUGUUUGGCACCUCGAUGUCGGCUCAUCACAUCCUGGGGCUGAAGUAGGUCCCAAGGGUAUGGCUGUUCGCCAUUUAAAGUGGUACGCGAGCUGGGUUUAGAACGUCGUGAGACAGUUCGGUCCCUAUCUGCCGUGGGCGCUGGAGAAUUGAGGGGGGCUGCUCCUAGUACGAGAGGACCGGAGUGGACGCAUCACUGGUGUUCGGGUUGUCAUGCCAAUGGCACUGCCCGGUAGCUAAAUGCGGAAGAGAUAAGUGCUGAAAGCAUCUAAGCACGAAACUUGCCCCGAGAUGAGUUCUCCCUGAGACUUUAAGUCUCCUGAAGGAACGUUGAAGACGACGACGUUGAUAGGCCGGGUGUGUAAGCGCAGCGAUGCGUUGAGCUAACCGGUACUAAUGAACCGUGAGGCUUAACCU
rnacentral:rRNA from 1 species